GACGAACGCUGGCGGCGUGCUUAACACAUGCAAGUCACGGGGGCCAGCAAUGGCAACCGGCGAACGGGUGCGUAACACGUGAGCAAUCUGCCGAUGUCUGGGGGAUAGCCGGCCCAACGGCCGGGUAAUACCGCAUACGCUUGCUUUGAGGAGUCUCGAGGCAAGGAAACCUCCGGGGGACAUCGAGGAGCUCGCGGCCUAUCAGCUAGUUGGCGGGGUAAUGGCCCACCAAGGCGAUGACGGGUAGCUGGUCUGAGAGGAUGGCCAGCCACAUUGGGACUGAGAAACGGCCCAGACUCCUACGGGAGGCAGCAGUGGGGAAUCUUGCGCAAUGGCCGAAAGGCUGACGCAGCGACGCCGCGUGUGGGAGGACGCCCUUCGGGGUGUAAACCACUGUUGCCCGGGACGAACAUCCUCUUUCGAGAGGACUGACGGUACCGGGUGAGGAAGCACCGGCUAACUCCGUGCCAGCCGCCGCGGUAA
rnacentral:rRNA from 1 species